rnacentral:miRNA from 1 species
UUAAUGAUACAUGUUUGACU